rnacentral:rRNA from 1 species
UACGGAGGGUGCAAGCGUUACUCGGAAUUACUGGGCGUAAAGCGCGCGUAGGCGGCUUACUAAGUCUGAUGUGAAAGCCCUGGACUCAAUUCAGGAAGUGCAUUGGAUACUGGUAGGCUAGAGUAUAGGAGAGGUGAGUGGAAUUCCUGGUGUAGAGGUGAAAUUCGUAGAUAUCAGGAGGAACAACAGAGGCGAAGGCGACUCACUGGACUAUAACUGACGCUGAGGUGCGAAAGCGUGGGGAGCAAACAGG